UACGUAGGGGGGCAAGCGUUGUCCGGAUUUACUGGGCGUAAAGAGCGUGUAGGCGGCCACGCAGGUCCGUUGUGAAAACUGGAGGCUCAACCUCCAGCUGUCGACGGAAACCGUGUGGCUAGAGUCCGGAAGAGGAGAGUGGAAUUCCUGGUGUAGCGGUGAAAUGCGCAGAUAUCAGGAAGAACACCAAUGGCGAAGGCAGCUCUCUGGGACGGUACUGACGCUGAGACGCGAAAGCGUGGGGGAGCGAACAGG
rnacentral:rRNA from 1 species